UCCUCCAGGACUAAGCCACAGCAUCAUGCCUGUUGCAGCAGCACUGGCGUUGACAAUAGUCCUGGGCAUUCUCGUCCUUUGCCUCUGGAUUUACAAGCAGAAUGGCGGUGCCAUCUUGCCGAGACUCACGGGGUCGAGGGGCCCUUACUACCCUAUGUCCAGCUUCAGCAUGGCACACUUAGAAGAGAACAUCCUCAUUUCUGAUCUUGAGAAGAAUAACCAAUGACGAAGUUAGAGCUGCUCCAACUACGGAGAGCAAAGGAGGCCACGAAGGGCGUCCUGUCUGCAUUUCCCCUGAACAUCAUGCCCUUAUAAUGUGAAUUGCACCUCCGUUUUAAUUAAUCUUCAAGCACUGGCUUUGAAUUUUAAGCAAAUCAGAUGAGAUUGAAUGUAUUCAUUUCCUUUAACUGUGGCCCAUUCUGAAAAGGGGUGCUGGUUAUUAUUUUAAAAGACAAGAGCUAUUAAAUAGUGUUCCCAGACCAGACUGGUAUGCAUUCAGAAUGUAAGUACACUCGAUACAUUGAAAGGGAAAGGGGAAGACUCUGGCUGCAUAGGACAGGAGGGUGCUUCUGAAAAACCAGUGCUUAUCUGAUUCUAAUUCAACUGUUUUUUAAUACCGUGGUUUGGGGAAAAUCCUAAAUUUUAAACUUCCAGUUCUGGGCUCUCAACUAAUACUUUGGAUGACAUUAAGUUUUAUUAGUUCUCAAGCUAGAUUAGAUCUGGUUCUCAAGCUAAAUGGGAGAAAUACCACCUUCUCUUAGAUAUGAAGGUCUCAGUAGACAGGUGAUCUCAGGAACAACCACAUGAUUUAAAAAGUGCCAUAAACCCUCGCUUGUUAAGUUAUUACCAUGAUUUAAAGGUAAGCUCAAAGAAAUGCAUUGAGAUUUCAAUAAUUUGUUGAAAGUUCAUGGACCUUAUUGAAAACUAAAAUCUAAAGUUAUAAAAUACUAUAUAGUAAUCUUUUGUUAUUGUUUGGUUUGUUUGUUUUGUUUUGUUUUGUUUUGUUUGUAAGACCUGGCUUCUCUGUGUAAGCAGUCCUGACUGUCCUGGGACUCACUUUGUAUACCAGGCUAUCCUCAAACC
rnacentral:lncRNA from 1 species